rnacentral:rRNA from 1 species
AAAAAGCUUCAAACUGGGAUUAGAUACCCCACUAUGCCCAGUCUUAAACACAGACGGGGCAAUACGUACCCGUUCGCCUGGUAACUACGAGCUCACCAAAUUUCAAGCUUAAAAGCCAAAGGACUUGGCGGUGCUUCAAACCCCCCUAGAGGAGCCUGUUCUAUAACCGAUAAUCCCCGUUAAACCUCACCCUUCCCAGCCCAUUCCAGCUUAUAUACCGCCGUCGUCAGCUUACCCCGUGAGGGUCUUUUUCAUAUCAAAAGUAGGCGCAACUGGUUUACCCCCCAGCAAGUCAGGUCGAGGUGUAGCAUAAGGAAGGGGAAGAAAUGGGCUACAUUCUCUAAUGCAGAGAACACAGCGGAUCGUCCUGAAGCAAGACAUCCAAAGGUGGAUUUAGCAGUAAGAGGGGAGCAGAGUGCCCCUCUGAAGACGGCCCUGAAGUGCGUACACACCGCCCGUCACCCUCUGCAGUCA